GAAAGUAACCCACUAUUUUAUGCACACUAUGGUCACUGCCAUGUAAUAAGGUAAGCACAAUUAACUGUUGACAUAGUGUGUUCAAAUGAAAAUGCAUGUUAUCAGAACUAUCAAUUAUUUACUUUGAAACAUCAUUUAAUAACUGAGUGAAUCCAUUUCCAGCAAGCUAAACCUAGUAUUAUGACAGCCACAAGCCUAGGAAGAAUUGUGGCUUUGGGACGUGUUUGAAGUUUAACACAUAAGCACUUUUUAAUUCAAGAAUAAUCUUUCUGUUAAGAAUCUGCAGUUUAUCACGACAUCGCGGAAUUUGGCGCGGAAAUCACGUAUUCAAGCAGAGCACAGCAUGUAGUGGAUAGCUUUGUGCACAAAUUACAAUGGAUUGUUUGUAAGUGUGUAAAUGCCAAUGACUGUAAAUGCAAAAAGGAACAAAGAAAUGAAGAUGUUUUAGAAUAAAUAAGACUUCCAAAAUUAAUAGAAAGUACUGAAGAAUAUGAUAAUGCUGAAUUGAAAAUAACUGAUUACUUGUGUUAAAAAUUUAAUCUAACAUUAAUCUGAUACUAAGUUAACAGGAUCACUAAUUGAAGUAUGGGGUGUGGGCUUAUGAUACAGAUAUUACUAAUGAAACUACUGACUGAAAAACACAAACCAAUGCUUCAAAUUGAUCAGCUAGAAAAUGUUGAAUGAACAAAAAGACUGCUCAGCUCCACUGCACAUUUGCUGUAUGCAAUGCACUAGAAAAUGUCCCCUUUUCUUGUUGCAAUUAUUGAUUGAUGGGCACACAACUGAGUAGCACAUAAUAAGCAGGCAAUUGAAAGGAAUUGCUGGGGCUACAGAGUAAGGUCAGAGCCGAGAUCAACACCUAGCUCAUUAAAACCAUCUGCACCAAUGUCAUAAUCAAGGCCAACCUAAUUUAUAUGAGGUGCAUAAAAAGUUUUCACACCACGAAAAUAAUACUGCACAAAUUGCGACAGCUUAAGCACGCUGUAACUGCAACGAACUACAUUACGAAAAACAACGACAUACCUACGUGACAAUAAAACGACCUCAUAUAAUUUCCAACACGAUACAGGAAGUGUACCACAUGUGUCUCAAAUCGUGAUUUCAAAAAGAAUUUCUACAAAGGACCCGCGAGCCUCCAGCCAUCCAGGCUAGCUCACUGAUGACCUAUACAAACUAGAGAUAGCGGGAUGCGCAGAAACGCAUCCCAGCUAAAUAGCUCUGUCUGGGAUUUUGAAAGGAUAGGUG